AUGAAUCCACCACCUCCUGGCGAAUUUGGACCUAUGCCCCCAGGAAUGGGAUACGGCCAGCCAAUGCCUCCUAUGGACCCCUCAGCAUCAAAUUGGAAUGUGAAUGGACCUCCUCCAGGAUAUUCUCUGCCCAUCAUACCAAUGCAGUACGGACCCGGACCACCUAGGCCUGGAAUGCCCAUGUAUUAUGAUAAAGGUAUGAGAAUGCCAGGAUAUCGAAGUAUGCAUCCCAGAGGUAGAAGUGGAAAGCCUUCAUCAUUCUCUAAUUACAGAUAUCCUACUCCACGUGGAGUUGUAUUGAAAGAAAAUGAAGAUCCACUGGCUGCCUUUGAAAGGCAUCUUGCUGAAAAAGAUGCCAGAGACAAGAAACGGAAGCAUCACAGAAAGAGGUCUAGGUCAAGAUCAUAUUCCCGCUCACCUGUUAGACACAAAAGUCUCGAUCACCUAGGAAAGGCUCAAGGUCGCCCAGGAAAUCUUCUGUGUCUCCGAGAAAAAAGUCCAGAUCUCCAAGAAAGAAGUCACGCUCUCCAAGGAAAAAGUCAAGAUCACCACGGAAAAAUUCUCGCUCUCCGAGGAAAAUGUCUCGUUCACCAAGAAAAAUUUCUUUAUCUCCUAGAGAAGUUCGAAAAGGCUCUUUAUCGCCACGAGGCUCUCUACCUCCUCGAAAGAAAUCUCUCUCUCCCAGAAUGUCUCGCUCACCCAGAAAGCUUUCACGAUCUCCAAGGAAACUUUCUCGAUCCCCUAGGAAACUAUCACGCUCGCCAAGGAAGUCAUCCUUGUCACCAAGAAAGAGAUCACUCUCACCACGGAAAGUUUCACGCUCACCAAGGAAGCUGUCACGCUCUCCUAGGAAAAGUUCUCUUCCUCCUAGAAAACGCACUUUAUCUCCAAGAAAAAGCCCAAUUCCCCCGAGGAAAAUUUCUCGCUCCCCCAGAAAAUCUCGAUCACCAAGACGGAUAUCUCGAUCUCCUAGGAAAGCUUCUAGAUCUCCAAAGAAAUCUCGAAGUGUCUCAAGGAAGCUCUCCCCAAAAAAGAAGUCUCCAAUUAGGAAGAGAACCCGUUCACCAAUCAGUAGGAGGUCAAGGUCUCGCUCCUUUGAACGUCGGCGAUCUAGAUCCCGAUCAUAUUCAUUUUCUUUAAGCAGAUCACGAAGCAGAUCUCCUACCUCUCGGAAGUAUUCUCCCAGACCUUUGAAGCCGAAGCGAGAAAAUUCACUUUCUCCAUACUCUUUAAGGUAUUUCAUCAAUUUGUUUCAUCCGUUUCUAGCCAAUUUAUUUAGAAACUCAGUUGAGAGGAUCUCCUGCAGGAAAUUUUUCCUCUAUUGAUAGAGGGCAUAAAGUUGCACAAUUUUGGUAACGGUCAUCCAGAAGUCUUGCUGCCAAGCUUGAACUUCAAAAACUUGAAUC
rnacentral:lncRNA from 1 species